rnacentral:rRNA from 1 species
GACGAACGCUGGCGGCGUGCUUAACACAUGCAAGUCGAACGGAAAGGCCCUGCUUUUGUGGGGUGCUCGAGUGGCGAACGGGUGAGUAACACGUGAGUAACCUGCCCUUGACUUUGGGAUAACUUCAGGAAACUGGAGCUAAUACCGGAUAGGAGCUCCUGCUGCAUGGUGGGGGUUGGAAAGUUUCGGCUGUUGGGGAUGGACGCGCGGCUUAUCAGCUUGCUGGUGGGGUAGUGGCUUACCAAGGCUUUGAAGGGUAGCCGGCCUGAGAGGGUGACCGGCCACAUUGGGACUGAGAUACGGCCCAGACUCCUACGGGAGGCAGCAGUGGGGAAUAUUGCACAAUGGGCGGAAGCCUGAUGCAGCAACGCCGCGUGCGGGAUGACGGCCUUCGGGUUGUAAACCGCUUUCGCCUGUGACGAAGCGUGAGUGACGGUAAUGGGUAAAGAAGCACCGGCUAACUACGUG